AGCGAACGCUGGCGGCAGGCCUAACACAUGCAAGUCGAACGAAGCCUUCGGGCUUAGUGGCGGACGGGUGAGUAACACGUGGGAACGUACCUUUUGGUUCGGAACAACUCAGGGAAACUUGAGCUAAUACCGGAUGAGCCCUUAGGGGGAAAGAUUUAUCGCCGAAAGAGCGGCCCGCGUUAGAUUAGCUAGUUGGUGAGGUAAAGGCUCACCAAGGCAACGAUCUAUAGCUGGUCUGAGAGGAUGAUCAGCCACACUGGGACUGAGACACGGCCCAGACUCCUACGGGAGGCAGCAGUGGGGAAUCUUGCGCAAUGGGCGAAAGCCUGACGCAGCCAUGCCGCGUGAAUGAUGAAGGUCUUAGGAUUGUAAAAUUCUUUUACCAGGGACGAUAAUGACGGUACCUGGAGAAAAAGCCCCGGCUAACUUCGUGCCAGCCGCCGCUGUAAUAC
rnacentral:rRNA from 1 species